UUCAAAUCAUUAAUUGAAGCGUAUCAUGCAUUGAUGGUACCGAGGACGUCGCCAAAACAAAUGGGGGAGAAUGUCAAGGACCGCAGCUUUACUUAGCCCCUUGACACUAUCGCAGCCACAGUUUGCCCAACUUCGGCCGCACAUUGUAAAUAUUACUUCAAGUUUGAGUUGUAAUUUUCGUUUCAUUGUAAUAGUUAUUUUAAUUGUAAAAUAGCUCUGAUAUUGGUAAAAGAUUAGUAUGAUUCCUCGUCUUUAAACGUCUACUCCCGUCACUUGGGUUUUUGUUCAGAAUGCUAUUAUAGGGGGUAUUAGUCAUUCAAAAAUCUUUCAAGCUCACUGGUGUCCGCCCCCUGCACCAGCAUUUGUAAUUUUCUGCUUUCAUCAAUUGUAAUUUACUUUCAAUGUAUUCAAAUUCUCAAUUGUAAGCUUUCUACAAAACUGCAAUCAAACUUUCUUUCGUCCCGACGCGACCGAGAAAAGGCGGAAGGUAGUCUAGCGGAGCAGACUACUG
rnacentral:lncRNA from 1 species